rnacentral:tRNA from 1 species
UAGGAAAUAGUGUAGUGGGAGCACUGAGAGUUUUGAUCUCUCCAGGUAGGGUUCGAACCCCUUUUUUCUAA